AUUACCAAUACCACGUUACGCCAACUGGUCCACUUUAAAGAAGAAACCUUUUUUGUCCCUCCAGUUUCCAGCCACCUUCAACCUUUUAUCUCUCUCUCUCUCUCUAGACAUUCUCUCUCUAGAAAUGUUGCAGAGGGUGGACCGUGUUUAACAAGAUUAUAGAGUUCAUGGGUGGCAGAAGUUCAAAGAGGGCGACCCGAAGUCGGUACUCAUCCUUUGAUUCUAGUUCGAAUUCGUGGAAUCAACAUGGCUAUCCACCACCGUCGUCAUACGCUCAACCGAGCCAACCCUAUGGCUAUCCACCGUCGUCAUACGCUCAACCCAGCCAAGCCUACGUGCCUCCGCCUCCACCUCAAAACUAUGGCAGUAGAGCUCCAGAGUCAAAAAGGAAACUUGAGAGAAAAUAUUCAAGGAUAGACGAUGACUACAGCAGCUUAGAUCAGGUUACUGAAGCACUAGCACGUGCUGGUCUGGAGUCUUCGAAUCUGAUAGUUGGUAUUGAUUUCACCAAGAGCAAUGAAUGGACAGGUGCAAGGUCAUUUCAUCGGAGAAGUUUGCAUCACAUUGGGGAUGAGCAGAACCCCUACGAACGAGCCAUAUCAAUUAUUGGAAGAACUUUGUCUAACUUUGAUGAGGAUAACUUGAUUCCGUGUUUUGGAUUUGGAGAUGCAUCAACACAUGACCAAGAAGUCUUCAGUUUCUUUCCGGAUGAGAGAUUUUGCAAUGGAUUUGAGGAAGUCUUGAAACAAUAUAGAGAAUUAGUCCCUCGUCUACGUCUUGCAGGGCCAACAUCAUUUGCUCCUGUUAUUGAAAUGGCCAUCACUAUAGUUGAGCAAAGCGGUGGGCAGUACCAUGUUUUAGUGAUAAUAGCUGAUGGGCAGGUGACUAGAAGUGUUGAUACUGAGCAUGGAGCUCUAAGCCCGCAGGAAAAGAGAACUGUUGAGGCAAUUGUGAAAGCAAGUGAGUACCCCCUGUCAAUCAUUUUAGUUGGGGUCGGAGAUGGACCGUGGGACAUGAUGAGGGAAUUUGAUGAUAAUAUCCCUGCCCGGGCCUUUGAUAAUUUCCAGUUUGUAAAUUUUACAGACAUUAUGUCAAAGAAUAUGGACCAAUCUAGGAAAGAAGCGGCUUUUGCUCUUUCAGCCUUGAUGGAAAUACCUUCUCAAUAUAAAGCAACACUAGAGCUUAAUAUAUUGGGUGCUCAUAGAGGGAAAGCUAUAGACAGAAUUCCUCUUCCCCCUCCUCACUAUGGUGCAUCUUCCUUCGGCAUGUCAAAACCUUCACAGUCUGGUAGCUUCCAUCCAAGUGCGCCUUCUGAUACACCUGAUGUAGUUGUUGGAACAAGUAGACCUGCAAGUUCUACCUCCGAUAACCAUGUUUGCCCUAUCUGCCUUACAAAUCCAAAGGACAUGGCCUUCGGUUGUGGACAUCAGACAUGCUGUGAAUGUGGGGAGGACCUUCAGUUAUGUCCCAUCUGCCGAAGCGACAUUCAUACCAGAAUAAAGCUUUAUUAAGUGAAAUCUGGUCUACUGGAAGAUAUUCUAUUGCUACUGACAACAGCUCUCAGACUGACCGAUUAUGUGAGAGAAAAAAUUGGAUGGCAUCAUGUGAAUCCCUCCUAUAAUGAAAUCCACGGAAGGUCCCUCUCAACCGGUGGAUUGGUUGGACCGUCAAUUUCAUGCAUGCAUUACUUGCCAUUUUUACUAGAUUUGUACCAUCAAGGUUUUAAAUUGAAUUGAGAAAUCACUCUAUGAAGUUAAGCAAAAGUUGGGCAGAAAUGUAUUUUUAUCACUACUUAAUUUUUUAUUUUUUUCUUUUCUUUUUUUCUUUCUAAAUGGAGGAAAUUUUUGUAAAUGAGAAAUAAUAUAGUACAAAAGAGAACUGAGGUUAUACCCUUACAUAAAA